rnacentral:rRNA from 1 species
UACGAAGGGGGCUAGCGUUGUUCGGAAUUACUGGGCGUAAAGCGCGCGCAGGCGGUCUUCCAAGUCAGUGGUGAAAGCCCGGAUCUCAACUCCGGAACUGCCAUUGAAACUGUUGGACUUGAGUACGAGAGAGGUGAGUGGAAUUCCCAGUGUAGAGGUGAAAUUCGUAGAUAUUGGGAAGAACACCGGUGGCGAAGGCGGCUCACUGGCUCGUAACUGACGCUCAGGCGCGACAGCGUGGGGAUCAAACAGG